rnacentral:lncRNA from 1 species
AUGCCUCUCAAUGCUACCAACCUCUUUGACCAGGAUGUUGAGAAAGCAACUAGUGAGUUAAAUACUGCAAAGGACUGGAGCCUCAUCUUGGAUAUUUGUGAUAAGGUUGGCUAAUCUUGCACAGGACCUAAUGAUUGCCUUCGUUCUAUUAUGAUAAGAGUAAGCCAUAAAGACCCCCAUGUUGCUAUGCAAGCUUUAACUCUUUUAGAAGUAUGUGUACCAAACUGUGGCAAAAAUUUUGACUUAGAAGUAUUUUCAAGAGAUUUUGCUAGUGAAGUAAGCAACAUAUUAAACAAGGGUCAUCCUAAAGUAUAUGAAAAAUUAAACUAUACUUAUCCUAAAGUAUGGUAAAAAUUAAUCAUAAGACUUUUAUGGUUGAAUGGACAGAUGAAUUUAGGAAUGAUCCAGAGCUUAGUCUGAUGUUGGUAAUGAUCAAGAACCUUAAGGAACAAGGUGUAACAUUCUCACCUAUUGGCUCUUUAAGCUACAGAACAAGGGAAAGCAAGCCUGGCUCUGGUAGCCAAGGACCCUGGCACUGUGGCUAUCAAAAAGGAAAGAGAAGAUUUAGCACAAGCUACUGAGUUGUACCUCGAGGAGCAAAGGCAGCAGUCACCACCAUCACACACACACACACACACACACACACACACACACACACACACACACACACACACACACACUGUGUAUCCAAGCCCAUCUGAGCUCCUCACGAACCAUCAACGUGAAGGCAGAAUGCUGGGUACUUUCUGAAGCUGCUGAGGAUAAUGAGCUUACCUUUAAAGCUGGAGAAAUCAUGUCAGUCCUUGACGACAGUGAUCCCAACUGGGGGAAAGGUGAAGCCCAUCGAGGCAAAGGGUCACUUUCCUUCUAAUUUUGUAACUGCAGAUCUUACUGCUGAACCAGAAAUGAUUAAAACAGAGAUGAAAAUGGUACAACUCAGUGAUUCAGAUAGAGACAACAGAACUAGAACCAGAACCAGCCUUUAUUGAUGAAGAUAAAAUGGACCAGUUGUUACAGAUGGUGCAAAGUACAGCUCCCAGUGAUAAUCAGCCAAACUUACCAGAGCUACUUCAUCUUGUAGCGAUGUGUCACCCAGAUGGGACCUCUCAUUGAUGAGAAGCUGGAAGAUAUUGAUAGAAAGCAAUUAGAACUCUCAGAACUAAAUGUGAAGGUGAUAGAAACUCUUUCAUUGUAUACAAAUUUAAUGAAUGAAGAUCCAAUGUAUUCUAUGUGUGCAAAAUUACAGAAUGGGCAUGCAGUCAUCUGGUGUUUCUGGUUCCCAGGUAUAUCCAGGGCCUGCUCAGAGUGGUACCUACCUGGUUGCAGGGAGUGCACAGAUGACCCAUCUUCAGACCUACAGUCUCCCCUGCCCCCCCCCCCCAGAGCAGCUGUCUUCUAUCAGCCAAGAAGCAGUUCCACCCUCUGCAAACCCAGAUUCUUCCUAGGCAGCAGACCCAAGCUUCUUACCCAAAUGCAAUGGUUAGUUCUGUUCAAGGAAAUUUGUAUGCCAGCCAGGCUUCAAUAUAUAGUCCUCCUCCUCCUCCUCCCCCCCUCCUCCUCCUUCUCCUCCUCGUUCUCCUCCUUCCUCCUCCUCCUCCUUCUCCUCCCUCCUCCUCCUCCUUCUCCUCCUUCUCCUCCUUCCUCCUCCUCCUCCUUCUCCUCCUCCUCCUCCUCCUCCUUCCCCUCUUCCUCCUCUUUCUCCUGCUACUGCUACUGCUAUAGUACCUGUUCCUGUACCUGCUGCUGUACCUGUACCUGCUGAUGUCACCAUAUACCAGAAUGUAGAAUCUAAUAUGUCCCAGGUGCCAAACUAUACUUUAACAUCAUCAACCUUGCCUCAAACAGGAGGCAGCCAACAGCCACCUCAGCCACAGCAAGCAUAUUCUCAGAAGGCUCUGCUAUAG